AGCAAACUUAAACACCUUUUUCCCCAGUUCAGUUCUAACCUUUGGAACAGACAGAAGGAAAAGAUCCUGGGAACGAAGAUUGUAAGUCCCAAUACUAUUUACACUGAUAUA